rnacentral:rRNA from 1 species
GACGUAGGGCGCGAGCGUUGUCCGGAUUUAUUGGGCGUAAAGAGCUCGUAGGCGGCCUGUCGCGUCGACUGUGAAAACCCGCAGCUCAACUGCGGGACUGCAGUCGAUACGGGCAGGCUAGAGUUCGGUAGGGGAGACUGGAAUUCCUGGUGUAGCGGUGAAAUGCGCAGAUAUCAGGAGGAACACCGGUGGCGAAGGCGGGUCUCUGGGCAGUAACUGACGCUGAGGAGCGAAAGCGUGGGGAGCGAACAGG